rnacentral:rRNA from 1 species
GGGGGACAAGUAGAGUGGCGCACGGGUGAGUAACACGUAGGUAAUCUACCUUCGGAUGGGGAAUAACAACCGGAAACGGUUGCUAAUACCGCAUAAUGCAGCGGCACCUAAUGGUGACAGUUGUUAAAGCGGGGGAUCGAAAGACCCCGCGUCUGAAGAGGAGCCUGCGGCGGAUUAGCUAGUUGGUAAGGUAAUGGCUUACCAAGGCAACGAUCCGUAACCGGCCUGAGAGGGCGGACGGUCACACUGACACUGACAUACGGGUCAGACUCCUACGGGAGGCAGCAGUCGGGAAUUUUGGGCAAUGGGCGAAAGCCUGACCCAGCAACGCCGCGUGAAGGAUGAAAUCCCUCGGGAUGUAAACUUCGCAAGAACGGGAAGAAUAAGUAGGGGACAACACCCCCUAUGAUGACGGUACCGUUUGUAAGCUCCGGCUAACUCCGUGCCAGCAGCCGCGGUAAUACGGGGGGAGCAAGCGUUGUUCGGAUUUACUGGGCGUAAAGGGCGCGUACGCGGCCUCCGCAAGUCAGUUGUGAAAUCUCCGAGCUUAACUCGGAAGGUCAA